rnacentral:rRNA from 1 species
CCUAGGUUUUAGUCACCCGUACCCCAAACCGACUCAGGUGUUCAGGUAGAGAAUACCAAGGAGAUCGAGAGAAUCGUGGUUAAGGAACUCGGCAAAAUGCCCCCGUAACUUCGGGAGAAGGGGGGCCCGCGGUGUGAAGGGACUUGCUCCUGGAGCACCAUACGGCCGCAGAGACCAGUGGGAAGCGACUGUUUACUAAAAACACAGGUCCGUGCCAAGUCGCAAGACGAUGUAUACGGACUGACGCCUGCCCGGUGCUGGAAGGUUAAGAGGAACGGUUAGCCGCAAGGCGAAGCUGAGAAUUUAAGCCCCAGUAAACGGCGGUGGUAACUAUAACCAUCCUAAGGUAGCGAAAUUCCUUGUCGGGUAAGUUCCGACCUGCACGAAUGGCGUAACGACUUCCCAGCUGUCUCAACCGCGAACUCGGCGAAAUUGCACUACGAGUAAAGAUGCUCGUUACGCGCAGAAGGACGGAAAGACCCCGUGACCUUUACUACAGCUUGGUAUUGGUGUUCGGUGUGGCUUGUGUAGGAUAGGUGGGAGACUGUGAAGCUUGGACGCUAGUUCAGGUGGAGUCAUUGUUGAAAUACCACUCUGGUCACUCUGGAUAUCUAACUUCGAACCGUGAUCCGGUUCAGGGACAGUGCCUGGUGGGUAGUUUAACUGGGGCGGUUGCCUCCUAAAAAGUAACGGAGGCGCCCAAAGGUUCCCUCAACCUGGUUGGCAAUCAGGUGGCGAGUGUAAGUGCACAAGGGAGCUUGACUGUGAGACUGACAAGUCGAGCAGGGACGAAAGUCGGGACUAGUGAUCCGGCAGUGGCUUGUGGAAGCGCUGUCGCUCAACGGAUAAAAGGUACCUCGGGGAUAACAGGCUGAUCUUGCCCAAGAGUCCAUAUCGACGGCAUGGUUUGGCACCUCGAUGUCGGCUCGUCGCAUCCUGGGGCUGGAGUAGGUCCCAAGGGUUGGGCUGUUCGCCCAUUAAAGCGGUACGCGAGCUGGGUUUAGAACGUCGUGAGACAGUUCGGUCCCUAUCCUCUGCGCGCGCAGGAAAUUUGAGAAGAUCUAUCCCUAGUACGAGAGGACCGGGAUGGACGAACCUCUGGUGUGUCAGUUGUUCCGCCAGGAGCACCGCUGAUUAGCUACGUUCGGAACGGAUAACCGCUGAAAGCAUCUAAGCGGGAAGCCGGCUUCAAGAUGAGAUUUCCAUGCCUUCGGGCGAGAGGCUCCCAGCUAGACUACUGGGUUGAUAGGCAGGAUGUGGAAGUGCGGACUAAAGACGCAUGGAGCUGACCUGUACUAAUAAGCCGAUAACUCG